UUGAGUUUGAUCCUGGCUCAGAUUGAACGCUGGCGGCAUGCCUUACACAUGCAAGUCGAACGGCAGCACGGGGGCAACCCUGGUGGCGAGUGGCGAACGGGUGAGUAAUGCAUCGGAACGUGCCCAGUAGUGGGGGAUAGCCCGGCGAAAGCCGGAUUAAUACCGCAUACGUACUGAGGUAGAAAGCGGGGGACCGAAAGGCCUCGCGCUAUUGGAGCGGCCGAUGUCGGAUUAGCUUGUUGGUGGGGUAAUGGCCUACCAAGGCGACGAUCCGUAACUGGUCUGAGAGGACGACCAGUCACACUGGGACUGAGACACGGCCCAGACUCCUACGGGAGGCAGCAGUGGGGAAUUUUGGACAAUGGGCGCAAGCCUGAUCCAGCAAUGCCGCGUGUGUGAAGAAGGCCUUCGGGUUGUAAAGCACUUUUGUCCGGAAAGAAAUCCGUCUGGCUAAUACCCGGACGGGAUGACGGUACCGGAAGAAUAAGCACCGGCUAACUACGUGCCAGCAGCCGCGGUAAUACGUAGGGUGCGAGCGUUAAUCGGAACUACUGGGCGUAAAGCGUGCGCAGGCGGCUUUGUAAGACAGAUGUGAAAUCCCCGGGCUCAACCUGGGAACUGCAUUUGUGACUGCAAGGCUAGAGUGCGUCAGAGGGAGGUGGAAUUCCGCGUGUAGCAG
rnacentral:rRNA from 1 species